AUUGAACGCUGGCGGCAGGCCUAACACAUGCAAGUCGAGCGAACGGCGGACGGGUGAGUAAUGUAUGGGGAUCUGCCCGAUGGAGGGGGAUAACUACUGGAAACGGUGGCUAAUACCGCAUACCAUCGGAUGUACCCAGAUGGGAUUAGCUAGUAGGUGGGGUAACGGCUCACCAAGGCGACGAUCUCUAGCUGGUCUGAGAGGAUGAUCAGCCACACUGGAACUGAGACACGGCCCAGACUCCUACGGGAGGCAGCAGUGGGGAAUAUUGCACAAUGGGCGCAAGCCUGAUGCAGCCAUGCCGCGUGUAUGAAGAAGGCCUUAGGGUUGUAAAGUACUUUCAGCGGGGAGGCGUUACCCGCAGAAGAAGCACCGGCUAACUCCGUGCCAGCAGCCGCGGUAAUUC
rnacentral:rRNA from 1 species